UACGUAGGGCGCAAGCGUUGUCCGGAAUUAUUGGGCGUAAAGAGCUCGUAGGCGGUCUGUCGCGUCGGCUGUGAAAACCCGAGGCUCAACCUCGGGCCUGCAGUCGAUACGGGCAAGCUAGAAUUCGGUAGGGGAGACUGGAAUUCCUGGUGUAGCGGUGAAAUGCGCAGAUAUCAGGAGGAACACCGAUGGCGAAGGCAGCUCGCUGGGACGGUACUGACGCUGAGGCGCGAAAGCGUGGGGAGCAAACAGG
rnacentral:rRNA from 1 species